rnacentral:tRNA from 1 species
GGGCGAGUAGCUCAGUGGUUAGAGCGCUUCUCCUACACAGAAGAGGUCGCAGGCUCAAAUCCUGCCUCGCCCACCU